CGGGUGAGUAACACGUGAGUAACCUGCCCUUGGCUCUGGGAUAAGCCCGGGAAACUGGGUCUAAUACCGGAUAUGACUCUUCACUGCAUGGUGAAGGGUGGAAAGUUUUUCGGCUGGGGAUGGACUCGCGGUCUAUCAGCUUGUUGGUGGGGUAAUGGCCUACCAAGGCGACGACGGAUAGCCGGCCUGAGAGGGUGACCGGCCACACUGGGACUGAGACACGGCCCAGACUCCUACGGGNNNCAGCAGUGGGGAAUAUUGCGCAAUGGGCGGAA
rnacentral:rRNA from 1 species